CUUGUCAGCAGCAGUGGGAUAAUGGCUUUGGGGAGAUGGCAGCAGGCACAUGAACAUCCCGCUCUUGCAGCUGCUGAGGAGGUUGAUCUCCUGGGCUUGGCUGGAGGAGGUGGCACCUGUGUUGAGUAAUUGCUGAAAUCCAAUCGAUCUGGGAUGACCCCAAAUGACAGUUUAGUUUUCAGCUUGCUCGAGCUGUAUCUCAGCAGCUUUUGGGUAUCAUUUUUGGCCCCCAGACAGGACACCUCUGCCUGAUCUCCCGCGGAUCCGAGGGAUCUCUGGAUCUUCACGCCAGCACCAGGACUUUGCUGCAGAAGAGCACAGAUCCCCAGCCCAGUCUGGGACACAGAACGUGUGAAAGGGCAGAAAGAUUGUGGUGUGAAUGCAGCGCCCUCAGAGCCCUUGGUGUGAGCCCGGAAAGGAAAAUCAAGCUGAGGGACAAGAUCAGUCUAAUUUGGGGACAUUGUUGGAGGUUGGAGUUGCAGUUCUGGAAGAAAUCCCUGAGGAAAUGGUGCCCCGGGGAGAGGAAGAGGAUGAGAGCGUGGGCAGCCUGCUUCAAACAUCCCCCCAGGAGACUUGGGAUCAGUCCCUGUGCAUCCUGUAAGAAAGAUGGACACUGGAAAUGGGAUUGUCCACAACUGAAACUUCAGAACCCUCCGAACCCUCUCGUGGCAUCACUGAAGACGACUGAGGGGGCACCAGAGGAUUCUUCCCCAUCAGAACAUCUGGUUCCAGCCAAGCUAAGCACAAUUGUUUGUGGCUGUGGGAACUUGUUCCUCUGUGUUAAAUCCAGGGAAAUGAAACUCAAGGGACAAUUCUAGAACAAUUGUCUGGUGUGCCAGGGAAUUGGGAAACUGGGCCAUUUUUAAUGCUGUGGCUUUGAAAUUGGGAAAACAGUGGUUGGCUCCCCAGUUUUUGUAUUUCCCCAAUUCCCCAAAGCCUCUGCUUGGGAGAGAUCUCUUGGCAAAAUGAAAUGCCACAAUCCAAUUGAAAAAUGGUCCAAUAUAGGUUAUUAUUGCAGAGCCUAAUUCUGUGCAAGUUUCUAGUUUUGCAUGAGAGUCUCCCAAAGCAGAAGUAAUCCAUCUGCCACCAUCACUUGGGGAUGCAGUGGUUCCAACAGGAUGGGCUGGAGAGGUGCCUCCAUGAUCCAAGAGAGCAGAACCCGUGAGAAUUCCAGAGAAACCUGGAGUGGGGUUGGUGAGGCCAAAGCAAUGUCCUUUGCAAAUAGAAAGUUGUAAGGGAUUCUCACCCUUUGUAGAACAAUUGAUGAAAUUUUGCUUGUGAAAAGAAGGUGAAUCUAAAUGGAAUGCUCCAGUUUUGCCAGUCAAGCAGGCAAAUGGAAGGCUAUGCCAGUUAGUCCAAGACCUUAGAGCUGUAAAGAACAGAGUAGAAGAUAUACAAGCAGUCAUAGUGAAUCCUUACACUUUGCUAACUCCCCUAAAUGAGGGUUUAAUAUGUUUCACAGCAUUAGGUUUGAAAACUGCCUUUUUGUGUCUCCCUUUGAGUUGGGAAAGUCAAGAGCUUUUUGCUUUCCAAUGGGAAAAUGCAAAGCUGGGGAGGAAAACCCAUCUGACUUUGGUGGUCCUCUUGCAGGGGUUUAAAAAUAGCCCCCCAAUAUCUGGAACUCAAUUGGCAAAGGGACUGGAGGAAUGGAGAAGUCCAAACCCACCCUCUUGGAGCCUUAUUGCAGUGUGGGGAUGAUCUUUUGAUGCCACUGAUGCUGAGCAGCAACGUUGGGGUCAGACUGUGGCCCUGUGGAAUUUCCUUGGGCUGAGUGGAUAUGGGGUAUCCCAAACACAAAGUGCAAGUAGUCCAGAGCCCAGGAGCCUCCGUGGGCUUUGGAAUUCUCCAAGGACAAGGGAGGCUGGGCCAGGAAGGAAAGAAGCAACCUGUCAACUGCCCCAGCCCCAGCAAAGGAAGCCCAGAGCGGGAUUGCUUCCAGACUAGAGGAGAAGUGUAUUGGGGCAGAGCUGACUUAGGAGACAGCCCCUUGGAAAGUCCUGGUUGGGAAUUGUUUCCCAGUGGGGGCAGCUUUGUCCGGCAUGGAAAACAAUUCUCUGGAUGCACAGAACUCCCCACCACCAGGGCAGAGAUCCUGACAGAGAUCCUUCUCCCAGUAGAAGAAAAUGAGUCUAGUGCUAAGGAUUGUCAACUCCUUGAAACCUUAGAGCAAACUUUGCUCCAGGAGGCUGGGCAGUUCCCCCAAGUGGGCAAAUAAUAGUCCCUGAGCCAAUCUCCUGUGACCUGGUGGAUGGGGAACAUGAGGGGAUUCCUUGGAGUGAAGCAAAUUAUUGAAACAUUUGCCCAAGUGGGUUCUUGGUCCAAAACUGACCCCAGUUGUACAAGCAGUGAGUCAGCAGUGUGGUGUGUGGAAGAGAAAUAAUCCAAACCCUGCCACUGGAGUGGGAACAGGUGAUGGAAAAUGCAGAAAUGCUGCAGGUGAAUGUUGGCAGAUGGAUGUGACUGAAUUGCCCAGAAAAGUGGGGUGUAAAGAUCUCCUAGUCUUGGGGGAUACCUUCUCUGGGUGGCCAGAGGCUGUUCCUUGUUGCACUAAGCAGGUUGGGAAAGAGACUGCAAUCCUGUUCAGUGCAAUCCUCCCUGUAUUUGGGAUGCCUUUGGGAAUGUCAUCAGACAGAGGUUCCCACUUGACUGCAGAAACAAAAUGCUUCACUCUUGUUUUGCUCUUCUGACAACAGUUCAAACACUGUUGACGUGGGAGGAAAAUUUACAUGUCUUUUUAGUGCCAAAGGUGAUCCAAGUGUUGCCCACAAGUGUCUGUAUUAAGUAAGCAAGACUCUGUAAGGAAUCUGGAAACUGUGUGUGUAAUGUAAAGCCCUGUGUGGCUGUCACUGAAGUGCUGAGGCUGAACAACAGCCCCUGAGCCAAAGCUGAGCUCUAGAUGAACCUUCCAACCUAAUGGGCUGUGUCUCCAUGUAUCUGCUCCUGAGCUAAAACUGGGUCUAUUUGUUGGUACAAAUGUGGUGGGAUGGGACUCCACCUGUGUAUCUGCUCCUGAACCAAACAGGUGUGCUUCUUAGGAAGAUCUGUUAGUCUGGGCUCAUCAGUGAAUCCUGUUUGUAUCUGUUCCUUAACAAAAGAUGUCUGAUUGUGAGCAAAA